rnacentral:rRNA from 1 species
GUGGGGAAUAUUGGACAAUGGGCGCAAGCCUGAUCCAGCCAUGCCGCGUGAGUGAUGAAGGCCUUAGGGUUGUAAAGCUCUUUCGUCAGGGAAGAUAAUGACGGUACCUGAAGAAGAAGCCCCGGCUAACUUCGUGCCAGCAGCCGCGGUAAUACGAAGGGGGCUAGCGUUGCUCGGAAUCACUGGGCGUAAAGCGCACGUAGGCGGCUUUCUAAGUCAGGGGUGAAAUCCUGGAGCUCAACUCCAGAACUGCCUUUGAUACUGGAGAGCUUGAGUUCGGGAGAGGUGAGUGGAACUGCGAGUGUAGAGGUGAAAUUCGUAGAUAUUCGCAAGAACACCAGUGGCGAAGGCGGCUCACUGGCCCGAUACUGACGCUGAGGUGCGAAAGCGUGGGGAGCAAACAGGAUUAGAUACCCCAGUAGUCC